GGAAGCGACUGGAUUCCACUUGCCCGGUGUAGGGAUGACAGCAGGGGAAGGAAGCAAGGAGGGAAGAGAAAAAGAAAAAGAAAUGAAAAAAGAAAAGAAGGAAGAGAGGAAUGGACACAUGGUAUUGAUACUCCCAGUAAAACCUCUCUCACCGAGCUGUGCUGAGGACUCAGACAAAGGACCUGGCCCAAGAAGAAAUAUAAUACACAGUAAGGUCAGCUCCUCUCCAAUUACCCAGAAUGGGUGAGAGUUGAAGAUCUAGAAACAGAUUGCUGAGGCAGGAGAACAAAUGGUGACCCCUGCGCCUGCCCACGUUCCUGGAGGAAAACAGGAGCCAGUAGAGAGUGAGCUGACUCGGUGUGACUCCCUUAACAUUGACACAAAAGAGAAAGUAUCAUAGGUCAUGGGUACCAGCAUCCCCAGUUCUCAUCAGGAAGCAGUACCCCAGGGCACAUGUCCCACAGACUGCUGAAAGAGAUCUUGCUCAGGGUUUCCCAGGAUGAGGGGGUGCAGGAGCCCCCCAGAAGUGCCCAUCCUCUAACCAACUGGGGGCCAGCUAAGCAGACAUCUUGGUCAAGCCUCAGCCCGUAGACUUGUGCUCUUGUGGCAUAAGAUGAGCCUCUGGGAACCAACUCGAGACCUACUGUUUGGGAGUUCGCCGGAGCAACGAGCCCCUUCUGAGGCCUCUAAGCUGCUGAGCUCUGCAGGAUUGAGGUCAUGAUCCCUGCCAUGUUCCAGAGGCUUCACAAGAAGAUGAAGGGACCCAGGAGGAGAUUGUGGGUCCAUGGGAACUGUCAGGCCAAGGGCUGCCUUUGACCUUCCCUGUUUAUUACCCUUGACCUCUGCCUACAUGGAAACCACCACCUUCCCCAUCCUCAAGUCUCACAGGAAAGUUGUUGCUACAUUGCCCCAGAGAACCUCCUAGCCCAUGCUGGAAGAGAAGGCCAUUCCAUCUGGGAAUCACAUGGCACUGGGUGGAGAGAGAACCGACUGGGCCUGACGCCUUGCAGAACCAGCAUCCAGCCUGUGUCCAAAGUGCUCCUGGAACCACAGAAUGUUUCAUGCCUCCAACCCUGCCCCCUCUGUCUGUCUGUCUGUUUGUCCAUCUGUCCAUCUGUCUCUCUCUCUCUCUCUCUCUCUCUCUCUCUCUCUCUCUCUGUGUGUGUGUGUGUGUGUGUGUUACAUACAUGUAUAACAUUCAACACUCACACUCAUGCUCUGGCCCAUGACUUUAUCCAUGUGCUCAGCAUCCUCCCAUCCAGAAAUCUCCAAGGCUCCCAACUGCACAGGCGACCAGCCUGAGUUCUCUGCCGGUCACUCCCAGGCUCCACCCAGCCCUUCCCCAGCCCCUUCACACAGCCCAGCUCAGCCAGGCAGGUCUCCCCUAGGGCACUAUUUUCGAGCACACUUUCUCUGCAGAUGUUCAGUCAUUUGCACCUGGGGCUGCUCUGCAUUUGUGCAUCAGCCUCAGUAGGGGUGUCUGAAUUGGGUGAGAGGGUGUGUCGGAGAAGAAUCCUGACUUGCAUUGGUUUGAGCAGAUAACGAAUAAAAAGUGUUCUCGCCGUGGAAAAAUCCAGACGGGUGUUGGCCCAGGCACAGCUCUAGGUCAAAAUUUUAAGAACCCCCACUCAUCUCUCUUGGCUGCCUUCACCUUCCUUAACCUCUGGACUAGCACCCAUCAAGAACCCCUCUAGGAGCCGGGUGGUGGUGGCACAUGCCUUUGAUCCCA
rnacentral:lncRNA from 1 species